UCUUAUUGACGAGUAAAGAAAGUGGUUUCUUGAGAUGGAAUCUACCCCUGGUGAAGAUGCUGUGAA
rnacentral:pre_miRNA from 1 species